UAGAUGAGACGAUCGGAAGAUUAUACCGCUUUCCCCAAUCCUUUGCAUUAUGGAUGGGAAAAUAAGCCUAGACCAACUUGCAGCUGCUCAAAACUGCAUGAUCACAGAGCUCAUUCCAGAACUUAUCAGGUCUUUGCAUCCAAAUUAGUACCAAGUAUAUCUUUUGGUUUUGAAGUUACUCCUCUCUAAUCUGAUUAGAAUUUAGUUUAUUUCAAGCCUAUCUACAUGUAACAACAGCCCAUGUAGUAAUGGAGGGACUUGCACUCUUGGUUCACGAUUGGAUGAAUUUUCCUGUCAGUGUCUCCCAGAAGUUAUAGCGCUGCCAUUUAUUGACGAUAAGUGUAACGUUGAUACGAACAUCAUGGGAAAGACGCUUCCUACAGAGCGAGUAUUUCAAACCUACGCUGGAAGAUACAAACUGACCUUUUACGACGCAAAGCGUCUUUGUGCUUUACACGGAGCUAUGUUGGCCACAUACAGUCAGCUGCACAAAGCUUGGCAGGCUGGUCUUGAAAGAUGCGCACGUGGAUGGCUCAUUGAUGCAACCAUUCGAUUUCCAAUGCAAACAAAAAAGAAUGGUUGUGGGAAUAAGAUAGGCAUUAUUGGAUCGUCCAAAAAACAAAACAAAGGCGACAAGAGCAACGCGUGGUGUUAUCUUAAAUGACAACUCAACGAAGACCAUGAAUGAGAGAAAGGAGUUGGGAUCCAGUCUUUAUUUGUCACCUGGGAGAGGA